rfam:Picea glauca, whole genome shotgun sequence.
GUUCAAACGAGGAAGGGAUUAUGGUGGAUACCUAGGCACCCAGAGACGAGCAAGGGCGUGGUAAGUGACGAAAUGCUUCGGGGAGUUGAAAAUGGGCAUAGAUUCUAAGAUUCGCGAAUAGGUUAAACUUUUUAACUGCUUCUUAAUCCAUGGGUAGGCAAGAGACAACUUGGCGAACUAAAACAUCUUAGUAGCCAGAGGAAUAGAAAGCAAAAUCGAUUCCCGUAGUAGCGGCGAGAAAAAUGGGAGCAGCCUAAACCGUGAAAAUGGGGUUGUGGGAGAGCACAAUAUAAGCUCUGUGCUGCUAGGUGAAGCGGUUGAGUCCUGCACCCUAUAUGGUGAGAGUCCAGUAGCCAAAAGAAUCAUUGGGUUACGCUCUAACCUGAGUAGCAUGUGGCACGUGGAAUCCCAUGUGAAUAAACAAGGACCACCUUGCAAGGCUAAAUACUCCUGGGUAACCGAUAGCGAAGUAGUACCGUGAGGGAAAGGUGAAAAGAACCCCAUCGGGGAGUGAAAUAGAACAUGAAACUGUAAGCUCCCAAGCAGUGGGAGAAAAUUGAUAUCUCUAACCGCAUGCCUAUUGAAGAAUGAGCCAACGACUUAUAGGCAGUGGCUUGGUUAAGAGAACCCACUGGAGCCGUAGCGAGAGAGAGUCUUCAUGGGGCAAUUGUCACUGCUUAUGGACCCGAACCUGGGUGAUCUAUUCAUGCCCAGGAUGAAGCUUGGGUGAAACUAAGUGGAGGUCCAAAGCGAAUGAUGUUGAAAAAUCAAUGGAUGAGUCAUGGUUAUGGGUGAAAUACCACUCGAACACAGAGCUAUAUGGUUCUCCCUGAAAUGCGUUGAGGCACAACAGUUGACUGGACCAUCUAGGGGUAAAGCACUACUUCGGUACGGGCCGCGAGCGCAGUACCAAAUCGAGGAAAAAUCUGAAUACUAGAUUGCCCCAAUAAAAGGGGUAAAGUUCAAACAGUGAGACGAUGGGGGAUAAGCUUCACCAUCGAGAGGGAAGCAACCCAGAUCAUCAUCUAAGGCCCCUAAAUGACUGCUCAGUGAUGAAGGAAGUACGAGUGCAAAGACAUCCAGGAGAUUUUCCCAGAAGCAACCAACCUUGAAAGAGUGCGUAAUAGCUCACUGAUCGAGCGCUCUUUCACCGAAGAUGAAUGGGACUAAGUGACAUGCCGAAGCUGUGGGAUGUAAAAAUACAUCGGUAGGGGAGCAUUCCACCUCAGAGGGAAGCAACAACGCGAGCAGGUGUGGAUGAAGCAAAAGCAAGAAUGUCGGCUUGUGUAAUGCAAACAUUGGUGAGAAUCCAAUGCCCCAAAAACCUAAGGGUUCCUCCGCAAGGUUCAUCCACAGAGGGUGAGUCAGGGCCUAAGAUCAGGCCGAAAUGUGUAGUCGAUGGACAACUGGUUAAUAUUCCUGUACUACCCCUUGUUGGUCCCGAGGGACGGAAGUGGCUAGGUUAGCCGAAAGAUGGUUAUCGGUUCAAGGACAUAAGGUGACCCUCUAUACAUUGAUUCAAAUGUAAAAUAAGAAUCAAAUAUAGGUGUGUACAAGUUGAGGUUGGGGGUGGAUAUUCCUCCUCAUCUACUCUAGCACACAA